GGCCAGAUAAGAGAAUAAAAGCAGGCUGCCCGAGCCAGCAUUGACAACUCGCGGGGAUUGUUUUCCACACCGUGGAAGCUUUGUUCUUUUCGUUUUUUGCAAUAAAUCUUGUUGCUGCUCGCUUUUUGGGUCCACAUUGCUUUUAUGAGCUGUACCACUCACCGUGAAGAUCUGCAGCUUCACUUCAGAGCCUAGCGAGACCACAAGCUCACUGAGAGGAACAAACAACUCCAGACGCGCUGUCUUAAGAGCUAUAACACUCACCGCGAAGGUGUGCAGUUUCACUCCUGAGCUAGUGAGACUACGAAGCCACUGGAACGAAGAAACUCCAACCACGUUUGAACAUCAGAAGGGGCAGACUCCAGACGCUUCAUCUUAAGAGCUGUAACACUCACUGUGAAGGUCUGCAGCUUCACUCCUGAGCCAGCGAGACCACGAACCGAUCUGAACAUCAGAAGGGACAGACUCCAGAUGCCCCACCUUAAGAGCUGUAAUACUCACUGCAAGGGUCUGCAGCUUCAUUCUUGAAGUCAGACCAAGAACCCAGCAAUUCCCAACACACAGGGACCAGCUUCUUUCCUAACUCACUUAGGCUCUUCGUGCUGCUCUGGCAACUAACACCCUUGGCUGCAGGGGCUUGGACACUACCCUUAGUCACUGACAAUUGUGUGAAGGCUGCUGUCGUUAACUUCACUUGAUCACCUUAGGCUCCUGUGAAGUGGUGAGCAAUUCAAACAAAUUCCUGUCGUCAAAUCAUAAUCCUGAUUUUGUUUGGAAGGACAGCGUGCCUGGUUCCAGGACUUGAAUCAUUCGUUUGUCCAGCAUCUCCAUGCUGUGUACGCUACCCGCCUGUUAGUCAUUGACACUGUCUGCUCCUGACAUCCACCCAUCAAUAUUGUCAUUGCUCAAUGAUCCAGGAUCACCGAGAGCAGAUGAGCCUCCUGAUGCAUGGUCAGAAGGAUAUACAUCUUUCCACACCAAUAGACCUUGUUUUCCGAUGUAGCAUUAUUUUUCAUAGUUGGCGAAUAUACAGUUAUGGAUUCAUAACAGCAAGAUGGAGAAAUUGCACUGCAGAGAAAUCUUUAAAAGCAAUUACCUAAUACUGCAGAUUGCUGAACUGUACCCACACCCAAGACUGAGCAUUGGAUCAAUCCAGAAUAUACAUCAGGUGUUCUGCAAUGUCUGCCUAAAACCAUGACUCUGCCUCCUCCAGCUGUUGCUACAUCUCACUAUGGGUUUCCUGUGACAUUUUGAGCAAGUAUGCCUCUGUGACUGGGGUUCUUACACUCCAGAAUGGAUGAGAAGCACCGUAAGUGGCUUUUAAAAUGAAUAUUCCCUGGCCCUUCAGUCGCUCUAUAGGUCAAGAAUCUGAAUUCUCAACCUGUCUAGAAGGUUCUGGUUUUAAUGGUCUGUGGGCUGCACAUUGAGAAACCUGUUCAGCGAGUGCAACAAAGGUUCCACAUGUGAGAAAGGAAGCAUCAGGUCUCUUGAGCCUGUUCUUUAAUCUGUAGGCUGCACCUUCUCUUUAAAUUCUGCUAAUAACACCAUGCGAGAAAACACCCGAGCUUGAAAAGCCCAUGUUCCAACAUAACUGUCCUUCACCACUCUGGAAAAUUAAUGGUUUGUUUCGAUUAUCCCUUUGUUAAACUCCAAAGUCAAAGAGCUCUGAAAGGCAUACGGUUAUUUUAAGUUUCAGGUGAUUUCUGUUGCCAAAUAUUUUAAAAAUUUAAAAUUGCUACGUGACCUCUUAGUAGUACUAUUAGAUUUCCUGACAAUAAAAAUAAGUCUUUUGGUUUCACCAUUUAUAGUUAGUACAGCUAAUAUUAAGUAUAAUUUUAAAAGCCUUUUAUUUUCUCAGAAAGAAAAAAUAAUCAAAAUCUGCUCAGUGUGGUAUUGAAUAAUUAAAAACAAAAGAACAGUAUCUUCACAUUAGUGUUUAAUAUUAAUUGCUUUUUUACCCUUGACACUGGUGCUAAUUAAAUUUUCAUUUUAUUUUCCAUGACUUGUUUAAACAGUUUUUGCAAAUUAUUGCUAAUCAGCCUAAUAAAACUGAAUCACCUAUUAAACAAUUUUGUUUUGAAUUAAAUGGCAUUAAAAUAAUUCUGGCUGCCUUGUGUUAUAAUGUGUUACAAGAAUACCAACCGCUACAGGUAAUAUGCCUUAGCUUUUACACAUGCUUUAAAUAAAUCUACGGAUGUAUUUACCUACAUGCACAAACAUGCAAAGAGGCAGUGUUGGUUAGUUGAAUGGGUUUCCGGCUGGAUUUAUUUCCCGUCUACUGUCUUCUCAAGAGGAAAUCUAAGGCAAAUCUCUUCAACAACCUGAAACUUGGUUUUCAUCAUCAGCAAAAUAAGG
rnacentral:lncRNA from 10 species